rnacentral:lncRNA from 1 species
GAACUUCUAUUGAUGAGGUGUGAUUGAUGGUUUGAUACACCAUCUUUUGUUAAUCAUUUGGUAGAAGUAAGGGUCUUUCUAUCUAUCUUUAAUUUCAUGCAAUUCUUCUUCUUCAUCUCCUUCUAUUGUGUUGUUUUCUCUUCAUGUGCUUGCUGGUUUUUGUGUUUUGUGAAUCCAUUUUCGUUAGUCCAUAGCCUUUAGGCUAUCAUUUGGUAACAAAGCUGUUUUAAAGACACAUGUGUGACUAACUGUUUCACUAAUGUGUAGCACUGAUAGGAGUAGAUAGUUAGUUAGUUAGUAUAUUGCCGAGUCAGCUGUAUAAGGUGUUGAAGGUUGUUAGACAAAUGAUUAGUUAGGUGCAAUGAGGUGUCAAAUAGAAUAUUCUACAAGGAGGUAGUUAUUAGAUAUUUUUGUAUCUCUUUCAUAGCAUAUAUAUAAGGCACAAUAUCAGAUUGUAACACGUGAUUUUGAUGAUGAAUAAAGUUUACAAUUUCACUCUCUCAUCUCUUCUUCCUUGUUCAUGAAUUAUCAAGCUGUAAUGCUUGAAUUUCACAUGGUAUCAAAGCCAGGGUGAUAAUACAGAAGAGUAUUUCGAUUUUCCUGCAAGUUUGGUUGAUUUUGUAGCUGAAUUUCUUCAUUUAUGGCACCCAAAAUUGAUCAAAGUGAUCCACUCUUCAUAGGUGCUUCAGAUAGUUCAAGCUCUGUACACAUUCCAAUCAAAUUAACUGGUUAGAAAACUAUAGUCUUUGGAGUCGAUCCAUGCGAGUUGCUCUCUUAGGAAAGAGAAAGUAUGGUUUUGUCACUGGAUCCUGCAACAAGGAGUUAUACAGAGAAGAAUUUCAUGAUCAGUAGGAAACGUGUAAUGCGAUUGUCCUCUCAUGGAUCAUGAAUAUUGUGAGUGAAAGCUUACUAUCUGGGAUCGUGUAUGCUACAAAUGCUUGCGUAGUCUGGAAUGAUUUGAAGGAAAGAUAUGAUAAAGUGAAUCGUAUGCGUAUAUAUCAAUUGCAUCGUGAAAUCAAUAUGUAUUCUCAAGGUACUGAUUCAAUCUCAGCUUAUUUUACUAAGUUGAAGACCUUGUGGAGUGAGUAUGAUGUUCUGGUUCCAAAUUCUAGCUGUGAUUGCCCUAAAUCCAAAGAGUACUCAGAUCAGAUGUGUGAUGUGUCAACUGAGACUUCUAUAAUUUUUGAGUGGUUUGAAUGAGUCCUACGAUCAAGCUAGGAGACAGAUCUUACUUAAGGGCGUAACUCCAACUCUCAAUCAAGCUUAUGUCAUGCUCAUAGAGGAUGAGAUACAACACUCAGCAUGUACACUUGCUGUACACGACAGAUCAGAACCUCUUGCUAUGCAAGUGAAUCGCAGUUAUGGUUAUGGACAGGGAAACACAAAUUACAAGAGUAGAAGGUGUGACUACUGCCAAAUUUCGGGUCAUACUAAAGAAAACUGCUACAAAAUGAUAGGAUAUCCAAAUGAUUGGAAGAACAAGAAGAAACAAGGUUAUGCGCCUCCAAAUUUCAGGUCAUAUAAUGGUGGUGGCAAUAAUUUCUCACUGCAUAAUAGGGGUAACAACUAUACUAACACUGGUAGCAAGUUUUCCUAAACUGCAAGCAUGGUAGCAGGACCAGCUGAUACUGCCAGUUCCAGUCAUGAUGUCAAUUCUGGACCACUAGCAAAACCACAUACAUUCACUGAUGAAGAGUACAAUCAAAUCAUAAACAUGUUGAAUAAGGAUACCAAGGAUAUGAAACAAGUCAAUAUGACAGGUAUUGUUACUUGCUUCAUAUCCAAGACUUGUUUUGACAGUUGGAUUGUAGAUUCAGGGGCUACACAUCAUGUGUCUGCCAAUAGACAUUUGUUUAAAGAUAGCAGCAGCUUGGUUCCAAGGCAUUUGGACAAAUUGCACCUUCCAACAGGAGAUAAAGUCACAAUUUCUCACACUGGAGAAGCUUACAUUUUUAUAGAUGAUGUGAUCAAAGAUAUUUUCUUUGUUCCAGAUUUUAGACUAAAUCUGUUGUCUGUUGCUAAGAUAACCAAGGAACUGUCAUGCUUUGUGUCCUUUUAUCCUAAUUUCUGCAUAUUUCAGGACCUCUUCAAUGGCAAGGUGAAGGGGAUUGGUAAACAAGAGGGUGGACUGUAUGUUCUUAAAUGAGAAUAGAAAGAUAAUGUUAUUCAGGAAGGACCAAAACACAGCAGGUUCAUUGCAGAGGUUGUUGUUCCUAAUUGCAAACUAUGGCACCAAAGACUUGGGCACCCAGCUCCUUAGGUUUUAAGAGACUUAGAUAUUUUGAUGCAUCAUAGUGAUGUAAAUAUAUUGAAUAAAUGUACUGUAUGCCCACUAGCUAAACAAACAAGAAUGCCCUUUCCCACAAGUACUACUAGAUGCUCUGCAUGUUUUGAACUUGUACACAUGGAUUUAUGGAGUCCUUAUAAAACACCUACAUUUGAUAAUAAGUGUUAUUUUUUGACUAUGGUAGAUGACUAUAGUAGAUAUACUUGGAUUCAUCUGUUGCAGCUAAAAUCUAAGACCAUAGUGGCUAUUAAGACAUUCAUAUCCAUAAUUAAAACACAGUUUGGAGUGGUGAUAAAAGCCAUUAGAUCUGAUAAUGGGACUGAAUUUAUCAAUACUCAAUGUCAUACAUUGUUCCAGUCUCUGGGAAUCUUACAUCAGACCAGCUGUCCUUACACCCCACAGCAAAAUGGAGUGGUGGAAAGGAAGCACAGGCACAUAUUGAAUAUUGCUAGAGCUCUUAAAUUUCAAUCCCAUUUGCCCUUCAAGUACUGGGGAUUAUGUGUAAAAGCUGCAGUAUAUAUCAUGAACAGGUUACCAACCUCAGUCCUGAGUAGUAAGAGCCCAUAUCAAUUGUUAUUCUCUACAGAUCCCAAGCUGUCUCAUUUGAGGGUGUUUGGAUGUUUGUGUUAUAUGACUGUUGUUCCUAGGGGUGACAAGUUCUCUGAAAGAGCUAAACCUUUGUACUAGUAGGAUAUUCAGAAUCUCAAAAGGGUUACUUGUUACUGGACAUAAACUCAAAAGGAUUAUUAGUGAGUAGGGAUGUUGUGUUUUAUGAAGAUACUUUCCCUUUUGAUCCAUCACAAGCAGGAUCCCAGCGUGCAGAUACUUCCAAAACUGAUGAAGACAUCAAUGACUUCCUGGUCUCCAUAUAUGAUGAAGUUGGUGCUGAUGUCCCUUUAGAGGAUAUUCAUGUUGAGGAUGCAAAUACUCAUACUGAUUGCCAAGAGUCCUCUGAUGAUGCAGUACCUGGUGCAAUUUCACCUGGCACCACUCAUGAAGAAACAUGUCAAGAUAACCGUUCCCUGCUUCAACCCACUUCAAGUAGACCAACGAGAACAAGCAGACCUCCUGUGUGGAUGCAUGAUUAUGUUGACACUUCAAAAUCCCAGAGAUGCAAGUACCCCUUAGCCAACAGCCUAUCUUACAGUAAAUUAAAACCAGCAUAUCAGUGUUACUUGUCAAAGUUCUCUACUCUGACUGAGCCUCAACACUUCAAACAAGCUGUAAAAGAUGAAAGAUGGGUGGAAGCUAUGAAGUUAGAAAUUCAAGCAUUAGAGGCAAACAACACAUGGACCAUUGUUGACCUACCCAAAGGGAAGAACACUGUUGGUUCUAAAUGGAUAUACAAGAUUAAAUAUCUUGCAAAUGGUGAAGUGGAAAGGUUCAAAGCAAAAUUAGUGGCCAAGAGAUAUAGCCAACAAGAAGGGCUUGAUUAUCAUGAGACAUAUUCACCAGUGGCAAAAAUGGUUACUGUCAGGAGUGUGAUUGUUGUAGCAGUAUCUAAAGGAUGGCCUCUCUAUCAAAUGGAUGUCUAUAAUGCAUUUUUACAAUGGGGUUUUGAAGAGGAAGUGUAUAUGGAGCUGCCAGAAGGUUUCAAAAGCCAAGGAGAGCACAAGGUUUGCAAGUUGCUCAAAUCCUUGUAUGGCCUCAAACAGGCUUCCAGACAAUGGAACUUGAAACUGACUCAUGCUUUGCUUGAAGCUGGAUUCACUCAAAGUGCUCAUGAUUAUUCUCUCUUUUUUCUGCAUCAAGGUAAUGACACAGUGAUAGUUCUUGUAUAUGUUGAUGACUUGCUCCUUACUGGAAGCAAUGCUAAUUUGAUUGAUGCAACAAAAGCCAAGUUGCACCAGCAGUUCAAGAUGAAAGACUUGGGGAAUCUCAAAUACUUCUUGGGUAUUGAAGUUCUCAGAUCAACUUCCGGGGUGAUAUUAAAUCAAAGGAAAUAUGUCCUAGAAUUAAUUUCAGAUAUUGGUCUUAGUGGUUCAAAACUUGCAAUCACUCCCUUAGAGUCCAAUGUGAAGCUGACUUCACUUGAGUAUGAUCAAACCACAGGUGCACAAGGUGAUGAUUUAUUGUCUGAUGCUUCUUCUUACCAAAGACUAAUAGGCAAACUCAUGUAUGCCACUAUUACCAGACCAGAUAUCAGUUUUGCAGUCCACACUCUCAGCCAGUUUAUGCAUCAUCCCAAGAGAUCACACUGGGAGGCUGGGAGGCUGCUAUCAGGGCAGUCAGGUACCUCAAAGGCUCUGUUGGUCAAGGAAUCUGGUUACAGGCUAAACAUUCUACCACUCUAACUUGCUGCUGUGACUCAGAUUGGGUUGCUUGUCCCAACACCAGGAGAUCAGUUACUGGUUAUGCAGUUCAUUUUGGUGAAUCUUUGAUUUCUUGGAAGUCCAAGAAACAACACACUGUUUCCAAGAGUUCUGCUGAAGCUGAGUACAGAAGCAUGGCUUCAGCAGUUGCAGAGAUAACUUGGUUGGUUGGCUUGUUUCAUAAACUCAAGGUUCCCAUUACCUUACCCAUAUCAGUCUUUAGUGACAACAAUUCAGCAAUUCAGUUGGCCAAUAAUCCUUUGUUUCAUGAGAGAACAAAACACAUAGAGAUUAACUGCCAUGCCAUUUCAUCAGGAACAAGAUCAAAAGUGGACUGAUACAAGCUAUACAUGUUCACUCUCAGGACCAAGUGGCUGAUCUUCUUACUAAGGGGCUAAGCCAAGCUCAACAUGCUCAUUUAUUAGGCAAGCUUAGUGUGCUAAAUAUCUUGCACCCUGCAGCUUGAGGAGGCGUGUUUUAAAGACACAUGUGUGACUACCUGUUUCACUAAUGUGUAGCACUGAUAGGAGUAGAUAUUUAGUUAGUUAGUAUAUUACCGAGUCAGCUGUAUA